rnacentral:tRNA from 1 species
AGGGCGGACGUAGCCAAGUGGAGUAAGGCAGC